rnacentral:rRNA from 1 species
GAGUUUGAUCCUGGCUCAGAUUGAACGCUGGCGGCAUGCCUUACACAUGCAAGUCGAACGGCAGCAUGAUCUAGCUUGCUAGAUUGAUGGCGAGUGGCGAACGGGUGAGUAAUACAUCGGAACGUGCCCUGUAGUGGGGGAUAACUAGUCGAAAGAUUAGCUAAUACCGCAUACGACCUGAGGGUGAAAGUGGGGGACCGCAAGGCCUCAUGCUAUAGGAGCGGCCGAUGUCUGAUUAGCUAGUUGGUGGGGUAAAGGCCCACCAAGGCGACGAUCAGUAGCUGGUCUGAGAGGACGAUCAGCCACACUGGGACUGAGACACGGCCCAGACUCCUACGGGAGGCAGCAGUGGGGAAUUUGGGCAAUGGGCGAAAGCCUGAUCCAGCAAUG